GAUCUCCACUUUCCUUUCAUAUUUGAGGGUCCAAUGAACCAACACAAAGCAACAGUUGAAGAAGUAGAAAGGGUGCACCAUCAUUAAUGGUGUGGAAGAGCUUAUGGGCUGGUGUAGAAGGCCGGGAGGAAAUGGCAUGAAGGGAGAUUCCAUGAGCAGCUGAGAGAAUUUGGACAGCUGUGUGAAGCUGAGGUGGGAGCAUUCCUCCCUGACGCAUGCUGUAUCCCGUAAGCCAUCUCAACUGCUCCUUAAAAGCAGUGAUCAUUAAACAUUUGCCAAGCUGAUUUUGCUCUGCAUCUCCAAACAUGAAGAUCCAAAAGAUGUCUGUGCAGAUUGCCAAUACUGCAGACUAUGUGAAAUUGCAUUGGAAACUGUUCUUUCAUCCUUUCUUUGGAUCUGUGUUGUGCCUGAAUUUCCACGGAUGGGACCAGCCAGGUUGCUAUGGCACUCAGACCACAGCAUUAACGGACCAUACUCUUGUAUCUGAUUUUUAAUAGCAACAGGCAUGAUGUACUUCCAAAAAAUAAACUUUUCUCAGAAAGAGAGCUUUUGAUCCUG
rnacentral:lncRNA from 1 species